rnacentral:lncRNA from 1 species
CUCUCUCUCUCUCUUCCAAUUUUCUGAUUUUUUUCCUGAGAAAAAAAAAAGGAAAAAAAAGAGGGAAAAUUUUCGUUUGAGAUUUUUUUUUUGGGCUAAAGAUGAAGUUGAUGGAAGAGGAGACGGUGUUCGAAGAGGAAAAUGAAAUCAAGGCUAUGAAAGAGGAAGAAGAGGUUGGCGGUGAAGAUGAAAGUGAAGUAGAAGGCGGCGAACCCGAAGAGGAAGACGACGACGACGACGACGAGGAUGAGGAUGAUGAAGGCGAAGAUGACGACGACGACGACGACGACGACGAAGGAGAGGAGGAUGACGAUGUGCAGGUUCUUCACUCAUCCGGUCCUCCUGUCCUGAUAGCUGAUGACGAGGAGGGCGAGGAUGUUAAAGACGAUGAUGACGACGAUGAAGGCGACGGCGAUGACGAUGACGACGACGACGACGAUGACGACAGUGAUGAAGAUGAAGAGGGUGAAGAAGAGGUAAAAUUCUUUUAAUCUUACUUUAAUUCCAGUUAAUUGUUGUGAUUAAUGGAAAAGUUUUGUUUUCUCAAGUCUUUUUUUUUUCAGCUGAAACUGUUCAGAUCCAUUGUUUUCCGUACUUUUUUUGGGGCUAACUGUUUGAUUCUUUACUAAUCCGAAAAUUAAACAUAAAAUCUUCGAGUCCUUUUUAUGAUUAUUCAAGAAUCAAGCUUAAUUUCUCAUAAAUAUUUACUAUUUCUAGAAGGAUAUUUGUAAUUCUUUAGUUUUCCUCUCAGAUCUAGUUUUUUUUCCUUUUCUAUGCAACGAAAGGAGAAUAUAAUUGACUGUAUAUUUCACAGAUCCAAAAACAUUAGAAAUUUGUUCACUUAUACAACAUAGCUGAUGCUCGGUAUCAAAAUCCAUAAUCAAAAUUCACUUCAGAGUCUUCAAAAUCUAACUUAGAAGCUCUAGAUCUAGGGUUAUAUUUUGAAUUUUUAUUCUUUUGUUUCUCAAUUAGUAAUUCAUCUGAGUUUUGUUCUCUUAAUCCAGAGAUUUUAUUUUUCCAUGUCUCCAUGUUUGGCUACUAGGAAAAAUACAUAGGAAAAUUGUUUUUUGUUUGUUAUUUGUUUUAACCUGUUUUGUUUUCAGGAGGAUAUGGGAACAGAAUACCUUGUCCGGCCUGUAGUACCAGCUGAAGAUGAAGAAGACGCUAGUGAUUUUGAACCAGAAGAAAAUGGUGAAGAGGAAGAAGAAGAAGAAGAAGAUGAAGACGAUGAAGAAGGUAGUGGAAAGAUCGAAGCUCCGC